rnacentral:rRNA from 1 species
GAUGAACGCUGGCGGCGUGCCUAAUACAUGCAAGUCGAGCGAACAGAUGCGGCGCUUGCUCCUCUGUCGUUAGCGGCGGACGGGUGAGUAACACGUGGAUAACCUACCUAUCAGACUGGGAUAACUUCGGAACACCGGCGCUAAUACCGGAUAAUCUAUUGCACCGUAUGGUUCAAUGGUGAAUGUCGGUUUUGCUGUCAGUUAUCGCUGCUUCCGGGCCGCAUUAGCUAGUUGGUACGGUAACGGCUUACGACGGCAACGAUGCGUAGCCGAACUGACAGAGGGGUCGGCCGCAUGAGAGGGUGAACGCGGUCCAGACGACUGCGGUAGGCAGCAGUAUGGUAUCGUCGGCAAUAGGCGAAAGCAUGACGGAACAACGGGGCGUGAGAGAUGAAGGUCCUGGGUUCGUAAAACUCGGUUAUGAGGUAAAAACAAAUUUGGAAGGAACUAUGCACGGCUUGACGGUACCUAAUCAGAAAGCCACGGCUAACUACGUG